GUGGGAGAUGUGUGAAUUCAGGUGUGGAGAAACUCAGCAGUGAGAGAUGAGUCUGAGAAAAAGAGACAAAUCCCCUUUCAUUCCAGCUUCCUUUGCAACAAAAGGGUGAAGCAGAAAAAAAAAAAAAAAGGAGGGGGAAUGUAAAUAUGAUAACUGAAAAUUAGCUUUUGAACAGCAUGCUUUUUGUGCUUUGCAUGACAUACUGAAAAGUCUUCCAUUUAGUUGUUUUUUUAAAUUAUAUUUUGAUCACAUAUCUUGUAUUAUGUUGUUAAAAAUAACUUUUAUGUUCUUUCUUGGAGAAAAAAAUGUGGCUUGUGAUCGCAGGAGAGAAUACUAUAUUAUGAAGUCCAAGAUGAACAGGGAAAUCUUUUGAAUGAUACACCAGGAAGCUCAAAGAGCUGGCAAGCCACAGCGGGAUGGCCGUCCCCUGAGAGAGAGGAGAGGAGGAGAACGAGCCCAGCAGGGGCCUGGAGCAGCUGGCUGGCAUCAAUAAUUUCCUGCAGGAGAUUUUGCUGGCUGAGUACACGUCACCUGUCUGUUGCCCCUCUGCGUCUGCCCUGUGGUACUAAAAUAAACUAAAGCAACCCUUGGA